rnacentral:rRNA from 1 species
UGGGGAAUAUUGGGCAAUGGGCGAAAGCCUGACCCAGCAACGCCGCGUGAAGGAUGAAGUAUUUCGGUAUGUAAACUUCGAAAGAAUAGGAAGAAUAAAUGACGGUACUAUUUAUAAGGUCCGGCUAACUACGUGCCAGCAGCCGCGGUAAUACGUAGGGACCAAGCGUUGUUCGGAUUUACUGGGCGUAAAGGGCGCGUAGGCGGCAAUUCAAGUCAUCUGUGAAAUCUCCGGGCUUAACUCGGAACGGUCAGAUGAUACUGCUUUGCUAGAGUGCAGAAGGGGCAAUCGGAAUUCUUGGUGUAGCGGUGAAAUGCGUAGAUAUCAAGAGGAACACCUGAGGUGAAGACGGGUUGCUGGGCUGACACUGACGCUGAGGCGCGAAAGCCAGGGGAGCAAACGGGAUUAGAUACCCCAGUAGUCCCUGAGCGGGCUGGCAAGGCGCAU